rnacentral:lncRNA from 1 species
AAACAAAAUCCUCCAUUGUUGAACAAAACCCAUCCUUCAUCACCACCACCGCCUGCGAACCACCUUCCACCACCCACAUCAAUUUCAAAGUAAUCAUCAAAUAGAAAGUUCUGCAAUUUCUUCAAUGGAGAAAAUUCAUGAACCCAUAUUCCGCAAUUUUUUCACAGUAAUCAUAAAACAAAAUAACAAACACUCACCCACAUUCAUGAA